UGGGGAAUAUUGCGCAAUGGGCGAAAGCCUGACGCAGCUACGCCGCGUGGGUGAUGAAGGCCUUCGGGUUGUAAAGCUCUGUCGGGGGGACGAAGUUCUGACGGUACCCCCCAAGAAAGCACCGGCUAACUCCGUGCCAGCAGCCGCGGUAAUACGGAGGGUGCAAGCGUUGCUCGGAAUCAUUGGGCGUAAAGCGUACGCAGGCUGUUCGUUAAGUCGGGUGUGAAAGCCCAGGGCUCAACCCUGGAACGGCGCCCGAAACUGGCGAGCUUGAGUGCGGGAGAGGGAAGCGGAAUUCCUGGUGUAGAGGUGAAAUUCGUAGAUAUCAGGAGGAACACCGGUGGCGAAAGCGGCUUCCUGGCCCGACACUGACGCUCAUGUACGAAAGCGUGGGGAGCAAACAGGAUUAGAUACCCUGGUAGUCCACGCCGUAAACGAUGAGUGCUAGCUGCUGGGAAUGUUUACCGUCUCAGUGGCGAAGCUAACGCAUUAAGCACUCCGCCG
rnacentral:rRNA from 1 species